GUCAGCUGGAAAAUUUACCAGGCAGGAAAGAGACCAGAGAGUGCUGUCUUUCCUGAAGGCCACUGAGCACCACCACUCUGGGAAAUGACAGAAGGCUGAAUGUUUUGGCAAUCAAAUUUGGGAAGCAGUUUCUGCAAGAGGUCGGUGCUGCCUGAGUUCCCCCAGCAGAAGACACUUUAUCCCAUUACGAACAAACGGCAUUACUUACUGAAGGUCUCUUUGCCUGUGUGGGCUGCGUGCCCAGAGGUACACGUCGCAGGGCCAGAGGCAGGGUGGCAAGCCCUGUCCCCGCCUGUGCCGUGACUUUGCUGCUGCAGCGCCUGCAAGACAAGGAGGGUGACCGAGCGCAGGCGUACUGCGAGCUGGAGCACGUCCUGCGGGAAGGUGACAGCCGCCCGCCGUGCGGAGUGGUGAACCGG
ensembl:lncRNA